rnacentral:lncRNA from 1 species
CUUUCUGGGCAGUUUUGAACACAAACACAAAUUUGGACGAAUUUGGGUUACAACUUGAAUCAAAACACUUAAAAACACAAAGUAAAUGGAUUUCUAACUAAUCUAACACUUUAAAAUAAAGGGGGAUUUGGUUUUGACGAAAUUGAAAACAAGACAAAACUUUGUAAUUAAAACAAAUUGUAGAACGAAUUUGAAUGAAGCUUAUGGAUGGAAGGCUAGCUAGGAGGUUCUUCUCUACACAUGUCACACUUGCAUACAAAACGAUCUCCAAUUGCUUUUCGAUAAACUAUGAAUACUCAACGCCCCAGAUUAACCGUGAAUUGCACUAAUUAACCCUCAGUUUUUUCACAAGUUAUUGAGUUGGAUGAUUGCAUACGACAACCCAAAACAUUCCCUACAAGUUCCCUACAUGAAUUGCAUAAUAGAGAUACAAGCAAGAAUCAUUAAGUUCUAUGAAAAAUAUAAGCAUUGACGAGGCACUCGUUACUAUGAAUUGCAUGAAAUUUAUGCCAAGAAUUUACUUAACGCGAUUGUGACUAGCAACCUUCACUACUUGCGAAUAUAAGUUCAUGGAUGAUGGAAAUAAUUGAUUGGAUUAAUUAAGUGUUGUGAUUAAUUUAGAAAGUCUAAAGAAAUCAUAAAAGCGAUAAAAGAUUGUUUUGGGCUUAAAGAAACGUUCGGGUUUAAUUGGGCCCAUUGGGCCUAAACCCAUUAGGCUUUUAUUCAAGCAUUGGAUGACUAGAAAUAAAUAAAAGCCCAAAGCCCAAACCAACACAAAGGGGCCGGCCCUUGCAAGUGGAGAGGGAGAGAUAUUUAGUCAAGUUGUUGACUAGGUUUCUUUAUGUCUAUAUAAGGAACUUUAUAGAGUUUUAAUCCUUAGGGUUUUUUGUGUGUUUUAAAAGAACAAAGAGGCUAAAGAAAACAUCUCUCUAAAACCACAAAGGCCGGCCACCUAGAGGGUGAAUUAGCUAACAAUCUUUCACCCUUUUGGUUAUUCCUCCAUCCAUCUCACUACACUAGAGGGUGUGGAUAUUUAGAGGUCUUCUCCUUUGGAGACUAAAGGAGAACCUUGGAGCACUCUUACUAACAAAGUGGAGGAGGCAAGGAGGGAGGCUAGGCUCAAGGACUUCAAGGAGCAAAGGACUUGGAGGUGGUCCAUCCUUGGUCUAAACUCAAGAUCAAGAGGUAUAGAUCUAUACCUUCACUUUAUUCUUAACUUAAAUGUUUUAGAUGCAUUAUAUAUAAACCUAUGAACCUUGAAGGGGAUUUGCAUGACUAUAGCUUUGAUAUUAUUUGAUAAAUUGCUUCCGUUGCUCAUGUAUAUAAAUCUUGAAUUGUAUAUGCAUGCUAGUCAUUUAGAAAUCCCAUGUGUUAAACUCAUAUUUUUCCCUUCAAGUGGUAUCAGAGCCAAAGGUUUAUGUAUAAUGUGUCCUUUUGGAUUUAUGCAUAUGGGUAUUAAUAUUAUGCAUGACAUAAUUAUUGCUUCAUUCAAAAUAUGUUUAUCUUUUGUUUUUCAAUAGUUGAAAAAUGUUAGUCAAUAGUUGAGAAAGAUAUGUAUGCAAAAGAUGUUUUGUAUGCAUGAAUGAAAAUUGAGUUUUGAACUAGUUUGACAUAUUAUUUCUUCAUUUAAAGUAUGUUUAUCUUUUGUUUUUCAAUGGUUGAAAAAUAUAAAUCAAGAGUUGAAAAAGAUAUGCAUGUAAAAUUUGUUUUGUAUGCAUGAAUGAAGAAUAAGUCAUGAACAAAAUUUUGGGGUUUUGUUCUUUGUGGUUGGCACGGUUUUGGGGAUUUUUGGGCAUGUGUCUGUGUUUUAUUGUAAGACACUCACACAUCAUUUUAAAGCUAGAAAGUAGAAACCUUGUCACUUUAGUUUUUGGGUUUGAAAAAUCACCAAGAAUACACAAAUCUUGAAAAAGUGUUCAUGGUUUUGUUCUUGGUGUUCAUAGUUUGGUUUUGGGUGAAAAUGGUUUUAUUUGGUUUUCAUGCAUAGUUUUAUGGUUUUGGAUGAUGUUCUUACCAUCCAUAACCAUAUUAAAACUUUUAAAACCCUAGACUUGUCUAGGAGAUUUCCAUCACCUUUUUCAUUAAAGCCUUUUAAGCCAAAACCAAGUGACAUGCAAAUUUGGAUUUUUCUACCUUGCAUUGAAUUAAAGCAAGAUGGGUGAGACUUCCCAUCUCCCCUUAAUGUGGCCGGCCACCCUAGUGGAUUUAUCCACUUGGGGGGUCUUUUGUAAUUUGGAAAAAGAUAUUUUAUAGUUUUGAGUAUUUACGGUUUGACCCCUAACUUUUUCUUAUUUGCAUUUAGGCCCCUACUAACUAGAAAGUUAAAAUAUUUGAUUUUAAUUUUGUUAGUUGUUUAAACUCAUAAUUCUAUUAUGCCCAUAUGCACUAAAUCUAAAUGUUCAUGUUGCAUUCCAUUUUGAUUAUUUAAUGUGAUUAAGUAGUUAGAAAAAGGGUGACUAUGGACUUAUGCCUUAAACGAUAAUUGAGCUAUGAGAUAAGGCACUAAAAUCAAAUUGUUUGAACCUUGGGAAUGUGUUUUAAUUACUGUUUUUGUUGGACCUUGUCACAUUUGACAUUAAUCUAUCUCUCCCUCUUAGUAUGUGUAAUUUGUAGGAAUUUGUACAAAUCGGUUUGUAAUUCUU